rnacentral:rRNA from 1 species
GAUGAACGCUGGCGGCGUGCUUAACACAUGCAAGUCGAACGGUGAACCCGGAGCUUGCUCUGUGGGAUCAGUGGCGAACGGGUGAGUAACACGUGAGCAACCUGCCCCUGACUCUGGGAUAAGCGCUGGAAACGGCGUCUAAUACUGGAUAUGUGACGUGACCGCAUGGUCUGCGUUUGGAAAGAUUUUUCGGUUGGGGAUGGGCUCGCGGCCUAUCAGCUUGUUGGUGGGGUAAUGGCUCACCAAGGCGUCGACGGGUAGCCGGCCUGAGAGGGUGACCGGCCACACUGGGACUGAGACACGGCCCAGACUCCUACGGGAGGCAGCAGUGGGGAAUAUUGCACAAUGGGCGCAAGCCUGAUGCAGCAACGCCGCGUGAGGGAUGACGGCCUUCGGGUUGUAAACCUCUUUUAGCAGGGAAGAAGCGAAAGUGACGGUACCUGCAGAAAAAGCGCCGGCUAACUACGUG